rnacentral:rRNA from 1 species
AGGAUCAUUAUCGAAUUUCGAGAGGGGAAGAUGGGGAGGGUGGAGACUGUCGCUGGCUUCCGCUCGGAAGCAUGUGCACGUCUAUCUUCUCGUCGACCUUUCUCUUAGUCUUCACACCUGUGCACCCUUUGUAGGUCCUCGAAAGAGGAUCUAUGUUUUUAUCAUCACACCCAUCGCAUGUCUAUAGAAUGUAUCAUGAUCGUCGAACGACUUCACGGUCGGGCGGCGGUCGAACAAAUAAAUACAACUUUCAGCAACGGAUCUCUUGGCUCUCGCAUCGAUGAAGAACGCAGCGAAUUGCGAUAAGUAAUGUGAAUUGCAGAUUUUCAGUGAAUCAUCGAAUCUUUGAACGCACCUUGCGCUCCUUGGUAUUCCGAGGAGCAUGCCUGUUUGAGUGUCAUGGAAUUCUCUCAACCAUGUCUUGAUCGAUUUCGAGGCAUGGCUUGGAUGGUGGGGGUUGCUGGCGGCGACAGCUGUCGGCUCUCCUGAAAUGCAUUAGCGAUGGACAGCAAGUCUGACGUGCACGGCCUCGACGUCAUAAUGAUCGUCGUGGCUGGAGUGUCGGACGAGCGCUAACACCGUCCGUUCGCUUCCAAUCCUUGACUUGGAACUUGGACUUUUCGAGCAAAGCUUUAGCUACUAGUUGGUCGUGAGGCCGACGAACGCGCGGGCUAGCUCGGAGGUCCGGAAGGGGUUCCUCGUCUUCUUUGACGACUUGACCUCAAAUCAGGUAGGACUACCCGCUGAACUUAAGCAUAUCAAUAAGCGGAGGAAAAGAAACUAACAAGGAUUCCCCUAGUAACUGCGAGUGAAGCGGGAAGAGCUCAAAUUUUGAAUCUGGC